rnacentral:rRNA from 1 species
GAUCAUGGCUCAGGAUGAAUGCUGGCGGCAUGCCUAAUACAUGCAAGUCGAGCGGUAACAGGACUAGCUUGCUAGUUGCUGACGAGCGGCGGACGGCUGAGUAACGCAUGGGAACGCACCCCAAACUGAGGGAUAACUAGUCGAAAGAUUAGCUAAUACCGCAUGUGAUCUUCGGAUUAAAGCCUUCGGGCGGUUUGGGAGCGGCCUGUGUACGAUUAGCUAGUUGGUGAGGUAAUGGCCCACCAAGGCGACGAUCGUUAGAUGGUUUGAGAGGAUGAUCAUCCAGACUGGAACUGAGACACGGUCCAGACUCCUACGGGAGGCAGCAGUAGGGAAUCUUUCACAAUGGGCGAAAGCCUGAUGGAAGCAAUGCCGCGUGCAGGACGAAGGCCUUCGGGUUGUAAACUGCUUUUAUAAGCGAGGAAUAUGACGGUAACUUAUGAAUAAGGAUCGGCUAACUACGUGCCAGCCGCAGC